CGGGUCGGCCAGACGGUCGCGUCGUGCCCCUCCGGGGGCGCGCCGAGGAACGUCCGGGCUCCGCAGAGCAGGGCGGUGGGUAACACCCACCCGGAGCAAUCCGCGAGAAAGUGCAACAGAGAGUAGACCGCCACGGCCCCCUCGGGGGCCGGGGUAAGGGUGAAACGGUGGUGUAAGAGACCACCAGGAGCCCGAGUGAUCGGGCUCGCUGGGUAAACCUCGCCCGGAGCAAGGUCAGACAGACACCGAUGAGGCUGCUCGCCGAGGUGUCGGGUAGACCGCAAGAGGGAUGCGGCAACGUAUCCCCGAGAGAGAUGGCCGUCCGGCACGCGAGUGCUGACAGAACCCGGCGUAUCGGCCGGCCCGUUCC
rnacentral:RNase_P_RNA from 1 species